CCUACGGGAGGCAGCAGUAAGGGAUCUUGCGCAAUGGGCGGAAGCCUGACGCAGCGACGUCGCGUGGGUGAAGAAGGCUCUAGGGUCGUAAAGCUCUUUUCUAACUGGCGAGAGUAAGGACGGUAGGUUAGGAAUAAGUUUCGGCUAACUACGUGCCAGCAGCCGCGGUAAAACGUGGGAGGCGAGCGUUAUUCGGAGUUACUGGGCGUAAAGGGCACGUAGGCGGUCUCAUAGGUCAUGUGUGAAAUCCAUCGGGCUAAACUGGUGGGGUGCAUGUGAAACCGUGGGUCUAGAGUCUAGGAGAAGGACACGGAAUUCCAGGAGUAGUGGUGAAAUGCGUAGAUAUCUGGAGGAACCUCGGAGGUGAAGGCGGUGUUCUAGUCUAGGUCUGACGCUGAGGUGCGAGAGCGUGGGGAGCGAACGGGAUUAGAGACCCCGGUAGUCCACGCUGUAAACGAUGCACACUAGAUAUGUGGCGCUGCGAGGUGCUGUGUAUCGAAGCAAACGCGUUAAGUGUGCCGCCUGAGGAGUACGGUCGCAAGGCUAAAACUCAAAGGAAUUGACGG
rnacentral:rRNA from 1 species